rnacentral:rRNA from 1 species
GCAGCCCUACGGGGCGCAGCAGUGGGAAUAUUGCACAAUGGGGGGAACCCUGAUGCAGCGACGCCGCGUGGGUGAAGGAGCGUUUCGGCGCGUAAAGCCCUAUCGGCAGGGAAGAAGGAGGACGGUACCUGACUAAGAAGCCCCGGCUAACUACGUGCCAGCAGCCGCGGUAAUACGUAGGGAGCAAGCGUUAUCCGGAAUUAUUGGGUGUAAAGGGUGCGUAGACGGGACAGCAAGUUAGUUGUGAAAGCCCUCGGCUUAACUGAGGAACUGCAACUAAAACUAUUGUUCUUGAGUGCAGGAGG